rnacentral:rRNA from 1 species
UACGUAGGGGGCAAGCGUUGUCCGGAUUAUUGGGCGUAAAGAGCGUGUAGGCGGCCAUACAGGUCAGCUGUGAAAACUCGAGGCUCACCUCGAGACGUCGGUUGAAACCGUGAGGCUAGAGUCCGGAAGAGGAGAGUGGAAUUCCCGGUGUAGCGGUGAAAUGCGCAGAUAUCGGGAGAACACCGUGGCGAAGGCGGUCUCUG